GUGUGUGUGUGUGUGUGUGUAGCCAGCCAGGUAGAAAAAUGGCAGAAAAAAGACGGACAUCAGAGUAUUUUUCAGUAUACCAAAACGCAAAGCAGAGCAGGCAACAGAUGGCACACAGACAGCAGAGCUGGGGACAGACUGGCAGAGACAGGGAGUCUCAGGUGUCUCCGGAAGGUGGUGAUUGACUCUGCUGUCGUGAGGGAGCUUGUUCCACCAUUGGGGUGCCAGAGCAGCGAACAGUUUUGACUGGGCUGAGCGGGAACUGUGCUUCCUCAGAGGUAGGGAGGCGAGCAGGCCAGAGGUGGAUGAACG
rnacentral:lncRNA from 1 species